ACUCCUACGGGUGGCAGCAGUGGGGAAUAUUGCACAAUGGGCGCAAGCCUGAUGCAGCCAUGCCGCGUGUGUGAAGAAGGCCCUUCGGGUUGUAAAGCACUUUCAGUUGUGAGGAAGGUGGUGUCGUUAAUAGCGGCAUCAUUUGACGUUAGCAACAGAAGAAGCACCGGCUAACCUCCGUGCCAGCAGCCGCGGUAAUACGGAGGGUGCGAGCGUUAAUCGGAAUUACUGGGCCGUAAAGCGCAUGCAGGUGGUUUGUUAAGUCAGAUGUGAAAGCCCGGGGCUCAACCUCGGAACUGCAUUUGAAACUGGCAGACUAGAGUACUGUAGAGGGGGGUAGAAUUUCAGGUGUAGCGGUGAAAUGCGUAGAGAUCUGAAGGAAUACCGGUGGCGAAGGCGGCCCCCUGGACAGAUACUGACACUCAGAUGCGAAAGCGUGGGGAGCAAACGAGGAUUAGAUACCCUGGUAGCACAGAG
rnacentral:rRNA from 1 species